rnacentral:lncRNA from 13 species
UCUUUGCCAUCUCCCAACGUGCUGGCAGAGGUACAUCAUCAGGUAUCUCAAAAGAAGACUGUGGAAGAUGCUGCGCUGUGGGUGUAGCUGCUGGGCCAGACACUACUCCAGUGGGGGUCAGUGUCCCAGGAGAAACAGCUUCCAACUGCAGAGAAGCUGGAGAGGAAUGAGCUCGAACAUGAGGGGAGUCAGGGCUCCUGCAGUGCCUGCAUCAGUACUGGCCUAUCGGGAGUGGGAUUUGGGCUCGGGCGGCUUGAAGAAGGAGUCGGGCAGCUUCUGGAGCGUCACGGGCACGGUCUGGUGCACUUUGGCCUUCUUGGGGUUCAUGACGGCAUUGAAGAGCGCCUCCAAGUGGGUCUGAGUCCCCACGGACGUGCACGAUCUGAUGCCCGGCGUGAGGUGCCUGUGACGGGUCGCCGCGGGUGCCGCCGGCUGCCCGGGUGCGGACGGCGGGCCCUGCCCUUGAGGAGGCGGCGCAGGCGGCUGCUCUUGGCCCUGGGGGGCCACAUGAGGCGGCGGCUGCUGCCCGGGUUCCAUGGCUUCUGCCUCCCCCGAUGCUCACCCCCUGACCAGGCGAGCGAGCGCUCCGCCCGGACGCCCCGGCUCCACAGGCAGAGGUGGAGAAACGGCGAGGGCUGCGGGCUGGACGGUGGGAGCGGCGCUCUCCUAGCUCUCAGGGCCGGGGGCUGUGCCGCGGCCCCGCAUCCUCCGCCCGGGCGCCUCCGCCUCCGCCCCCGCCCUGCGCCCGGGCUCCACUGGUCUCGCGGCUGCGCCUCGGGAGCGGCUGCGAGGGACCCGGACCUGCGGCGCCUGAGAACUUUUUCCCUCCAACUCCCUUGACGGAGGCCGGACCGCUAGUUGCCUUUCCCCUCCUCCCCCUUUCUCUUUUAUUUCCUUUUCUUGUUCCUUCCUCCCUCCCUUUCUUUUCCCUGGCGGCGGCUGCGCCCCUGUUUAUUUAAAUGAACAAAAUAAAUCAGUAUAAAACACCUGGGACAGGGGAAAGUCAGAAAGCAGAGAAAGCUGGGGAAUCGUCUUAAGGCAUGGAGUAUGGGAAUGAUGCAUAAAAGCUAGGUGAUCAGAGCAAAAGUGGGGGACACUAAGAGGCCAG